GACGAGGGAUCCUAGCGUUGUUCGGAAUUAUUGGGCGUAAAGCGUGUGUAGGCGGCUAUCUAAGUCAGGUGUGAAAUCCCCGGGCUCAACCCGGGAAGUGCAUUUGAUACUGGAUAGCUUGAAUAUUGGAGAGGAUAGUAGAAUUCCUGGUGUAGUGGUGAAAUACGUAGAUAUCAGGAGGAAUACCGGUGGCGAAGGCGGCUAUCUGGCCAUAUAUUGACGCUGAGACACGAAAGCGUGGGGAGCAAAC
rnacentral:rRNA from 1 species